UCUAUAUGGAUAUUAGCUGUUUAUUUUAUGGUAAGUUUAAACAUUGAAAGUAUAAUUGCAAGAAUAAUCUUGCAAGUUUGAAGUAGGGUGCAAGUAUAGCACCAAAAGGUGUAUACAGUAGGAUACAAAUCUAUUUUUCAUUGAGUAGCUCAGACUCUGAUACUUGGGUAUUAGAUACCGUCUGUGGAUCAUAUAUUUAUAAUUCAUUACAGCGACUACAGAAUAUCAAAAGUCUAAAAAGAAUGACC
rnacentral:lncRNA from 1 species